rnacentral:rRNA from 1 species
ACACGACUACAUUAGAUACCCCCGUAGUCCUAGCCGUAAACGAUACUCGCUAGGUGUCGGCCACGGUGCGACCGUUGUCGGUGCCGUAGGGAAGCCGUGAAGCGAGCCACCUGGGAAGUACGGCCGCAAGGCUGAAACUUAAAGGAAUUGGGCGGGGGAGCACCACAACGGGUGGAGCUUGCGGUUUAAUUGGAUUCAACGCCGGAAAUCUUACCGGGACCGACAGCAACAUGAAGGCCAGGCUGAAGACUUUGCCGGAUUAGCUG